rnacentral:rRNA from 1 species
CAGCAGCCGCGGGAAUACGUAGGGUGCAAGCGUUAAUCGGAAUUACUGGGCGUAAAGCGUGCGCAGGCGGUGUUGUAAGACUGAUGUGAAAUCCCCGGGCUCAACCUGGGAACUGCAUUGGUGACUGCAACGCUGGAGUGCGGCAGAGGGGGAUGGAAUUCCGCGUGUAGCAGUGAAAUGCGUAGAUAUCGUGAGGAAGACCAGUGGCGAAGGCGAUUCUCUGGGCAGUUCCUGACACUGAGGCACGAAGGCCAGGGGAGCAAACGGGAUUAGAUACCCCCGUAGUCCCUGUCUCUUAUAC